rnacentral:lncRNA from 1 species
GUAAUCCAUGUCAGGAGAUUCAGAGUUUGCAAUCCUCUCAUCAAUCCAUUUAUUGAACUCCUUGGUACUGGGACUUCCACCAACUAGUGGACCAGGGAAUAAUUGCCGGCACAGAGUUCGGGUAUACUCACAUGCCCCCAUCGCAAGGCUUGAAGUGUCAACUCUCUCAGAGACAACAUCCAUCAAGUUAAGCACAGAUAUCACAUGCCCCCAUCACAAGGCUUGAAGUGUCAACUCUCUCAGAGACAACAUCCAUCAAGUUAAGCACAGAUAUUGAAACUCCUACAGGAUUCUUUACCCACCAUACAAAAAUACUUUUCAAUAAUUAGUAAGAGUACUGCACCGCAAAAUAUUGGGAAAAGACAAAAUAAAGAAACAAUGAUACAAACCUG